rnacentral:rRNA from 1 species
UACGUAGGGUGCAAGCGUUAAUCGGAAUUACUGGGCGUAAAGGGCGCGUAGGUGGUUAUGUAAGUGAGAUGUGAAAUCCCCGGGCUUAACCUGGGAACUGCAUCUUAUACUGCGUAACUGGAGUAUGAUAGAGGGUAGUGGAAUUUCCGGUGUAGCGGUGAAAUGCGUAGAUAUCGGAAGGAACACCAGUGGCGAAGGCGGCUACCUGGAUUAAUACUGACACUGAGGCGCGAAAGCGUGGGGAGCAAACAGG